GCUCGAUUGGCCCAGUGGUUAAGGCCUCCGCUUUACAUAAUCAAGCAUUGCCUGUUCCGGCAGAGUUGUGCGUUGUGAGCGCGGAAAAUCCUCGGUUCGAUCCCGAGAUUGAGCA